rnacentral:rRNA from 1 species
UAAAAUCGUAAAUAAAAGUUUAAUUAUUGUUAAAGUAUUAUAAUAAUCUUGAAAUCUUUUAGUAUAUUUUAUGAGACACUUAGUCUACUUUAAAAAAAUAUGUACUUUCAACGAGUCUUGCUACUCUGUUUAAGCUUAUGCGUCGGGCAAGCAGACGGUGUACAGGGAUCGCAUCGCUUGUACGUUGGAAAGGGGAUACAAAGUAGAUAGGCUUUUACGGAUUGUGACCCCUUUGUAAAGGCUACAAAAGGGGGAAGCGGUCAUAGCACAUCGUGGCGCCAUCUUGUGGGGAUCGCGACGAAAAACGGAACAGUACGUAGACAAACGAACAUAAAUGACAAAGAAGGGAAGAAGAGAGGCCAUCUAGACUCUGGCGACGACUACGGCGACACUAGCUGAUGCAGGUGCUGCCGUGAAGAAGGAAAAGUCGUCUCGAAGGUCAACCACCUAGGGACCUCGGUCUACGGUGGCGGCUGCCUAUGAUGAUGUACCUCCGGCGGCUUCUGGUCCUCAUCAAUCCUCCAGGGUCCGUCCUCCGGAACGGAGAAGCUAGUACAACGAAUACACGAUCGGAAGAAUUCCGUAGGAACAAAUUGAAUACAGAUAUGAGUCUAUAACAACGAAGGCGACUGCGAACACAUAGCUCGAACAUAAGCUCGGGAGCUCCGGGGACAGAACAUUAUAUUUCGAACAAAAUAAAAUUAAACACGGAAAUCAACACAACACUAUAGAAGG